AUCAUUUCUCGGCCUUUUGGCUAAGAUCAAGUGUAGUAUUUUGAUUUUAACACAACUUUUUAUUUAUUUAUUUUUGUACCUGGAAUGGAACAUAGGACGUUGCACUUGCCAGGCAGGUACGGCGCCAUUGA
ensembl:snRNA U2 U2 spliceosomal RNA